rnacentral:rRNA from 1 species
CGGCCUUCGGGUUGUAAAAUUCUGUGGCGAGGAACGAAUGGCAAGGAGAGGAAAUGCUCUUUGUUUGACGGUACCUCGCUAGAAAGCCACGGCUAACUACGUGCCAGCAGCCGCGGUAAUACGUAGGUGGCAAGCGUUAUCCGGAAUUAUUGGGCGUAAAGAGUGAGCAGGCGGUUUUUUAAGUCUGAAGUCAAAUCCUGUGGCUCAACCACAGUUCGCUUUGGAAACUGAAGAACUAGAGUGCGGGAGAGGUAAGCGGAAUUCCAUAUGUAGCGGUGAAAUGCACAGAUAUAUGGAGGAACACCGGUGGCGAAGGCGGCUUACCAGCCCGAUACUGACGCUCAGUCACGAAAGCGUGGGGAGCAAAUAGGCUUAGAUACCCUAGUAGUCCACGCCGUAAACGUUGAGGACCUGAUGCCGGAGUAUUUCGGUGUCGUAGCUAACGCGUUAAGUCCUCCGCCUGGGUACUACGUUCGCAAGAAUAAAACUUAAAGGAAUUGACGGGGGCCCGCACAAGCAGUGGAGCAUGUGGUUUAAUUCGUCGCUACGCGAAAAACCUUACCAGGGUUUGACAUCCCGCUAAAAGUCUUGGAAACAAGAUCAUAGUUAUAGCGGUGAAAGGUGGUGCAUGGUUGUCGUCAGCUCGUGUCGUGAGAUGUUGGGUUAAGUCCCCUAACGAGCGCAACCCUUGUCUCUAUUUGCCAUCAUUAAGUUGGGAACUAUAGAGAGACUGCCGGUGCAAACCGGAGGAAGAUGGGGAUGACGUCAAAUCAUCAUGCCCCUUAUGCCCUGGGCCACACACGUGCUACAAUGGCCGGUACAGAGAGAAGCAAUCCCGUGAGGAGGAGCAAAUCUCACAAAGCCGGUCUCAGUUCGGAUUGGAGUCUGCAACUCGACUCCAUGAAGCUGGAAUUGCUAGUAAUCGCAGAUCAGCAUGCUGCGGUGAAUACGUUCCCGGGCCUUGUACACACUGCCCGUCACACCAUGAGAGUCGGCAAUACUCGAAGUCGUUAUCUUAACCCGCAAGGGAGGGAGGCGCCUAAGGUAGGGCUGAUGAUUGGGGUUAAGUCGUAACAAGGUAUCCCUACGGGAACGUGGGGAUG